UUCACAUUUUAUUUUUAUUUUUAAAAAUAAUUUAAAUUGAAAAUCUUUUUUUUUCUUUUUUAAAAUUUGCAGUUUGUCUUUCACUCAAUAUCUUAAUAUAUUUUCACAUUUUUUUUUAUUUUUAAAAAUAAUUUAAAAAAUGUUUUAAAAAUGAGAGCCUAAUCCGGUUUUUUUGCAUGUUUGCAUAUAAAAAGGAACUUGGAAGUCAGUUGUGUGUCAAUAGAAGAAUGGAUUUAAA